GGGGAUAUAGCUCAGUGGUAGAGCUUUCGACUGCAGAUCGAGAGGAACAUGGUUCAAAUCCUGGUGUCCCCU
rfam:Ciona savignyi cont_242, whole genome shotgun sequence.